AACGAACGCUGGCGGUAUGCCUAACACAUGCAAGUCGAACGAGACCUUCGGGUCUAGUGGCGCACGGGUGUGUCAAGCGUGGGAACCUGCCGUUAGGUUUGGAAUAAUUCUCCGAAAGGGGUGCUAAUACAGGAAAAUGUCCUCGGAUCAAAGAUUUAUCGCAUUUGGAUGGGCCCGCGUUGGAUUAGCUAGUUGGUAGGGUAAAAGCCUACCAAGGCGACGAUCCAUAGCUGGUCUGAGAGGAUGAGCAGCCACACUUGGACUGAGACACGGCCCAGACUCCUACGGGAGGCAGCAGUGGCUGAUAUUGGACAAUGGGCUAAAGCCUGAUCCAGCAAUGCCUCGUGAGUGAUGAAGGCCUUAGAGUUGUAAAGCUCUUUUACCCGUGAUGAUAAUGACGGUACCGAGAGAAUAAGCUCCGGCUAACUCCGUG
rnacentral:rRNA from 1 species